rnacentral:rRNA from 1 species
GGUUAAGCGACUAAGCGUACACGGUGGAUGCCCUGGCAGUCAGAGGCGAUGAAGGACGUGCUAAUCUGCGAAAAGCGUCGGUAAGGUGAUAUGAACCGUUAUAGCCGGCGAUGUCCGAAUGGGGAAACCCAGUGCAAUUCGUUGCACUAUCGUUAACUGAAUACAUAGGUUAACGAGGCGAACCGGGGGAACUGAAACAUCUAAGUACCCCGAGGAAAAGAAAUCAACCGAGAUUCCCCCAGUAGCGGCGAGCGAACGGGGAGCAGCCCAGAGUCUGAAUCAGCUUGUGUGUUAGUGGAACGGUCUGGAAAGUCCGACGGUACAGGGUGAUAGUCCCGUACACCAAAAUGCACAGGCUGUGAACUCGAAGAGUAGGGCGGGACACGUGGUAUCCUGUCUGAAUAUGGGGGGACCAUCCUCCAAGGCUAAAUACUCCUGACUGACCGAUAGUGAACCAGUACCGUGAGGGAAAGGCGAAAAGAACCCCGGCGAGGGGAGUGAAAAAGAACCUGAAACCGUGUACGUACAAGCAGUGGGAGCACCUUCGGGUGUGACUGCGUACCUUUUGUAUAAUGGGUCAGCGACUUAUAUUCUGUAGCAAGGUUAACCGUAUAGGGGAGCCGCAGGGAAACCGAGUCUUAACUGGGCGUUAAGUUGCAGGGUAUAGACCCGAAACCCGGUGAUCUAGCCAUGGGCAGGUUGAAGGUUGGGUAACACUAACUGGAGGACCGAACCGACUAAUGUUGAAAAAUUAGCGGAUGACUUGUGGCUGGGGGUGAAAGGCCAAUCAAACCGGGAGAUAGCUGGUUCUCCCCGAAAGCUAUUUAGGUAGCGCCUCGUGAAUUCAUCUUCGGGGGUAGAGCACUGUUUCGGCUAGGGGGUCAUCCCGACUUACCAACCCGAUGCAAACUACGAAUACCGAAGAAUGUUAUCACGGGAGACACACGGCGGGUGCUAACGUCCGUCGUGAAGAGGGAAACAACCCAGACCGCCAGCUAAGGUCCCAAAGUCAUGGUUAAGUGGGAAACGAUGUGGGAAGGCACAGACAGCCAGGAUGUUGGCUUAGAAGCAGCCAUCAUUUAAAGAAAGCGUAAUAGCUCACUGGUCGAGUCGGCCUGCGCGGAAGAUGUAACGGGGCUAAACCAUGCACCGAAGCUGCGGCAGCGACACUAUGUGUUGUUGGGUAGGGGAGCGUUCUGUAAGCCUGCGAAGGUGUGCUGUGAGGCAUGCUGGAGGUAUCAGAAGUGCGAAUGCUGACAUAAGUAACGAUAAAGCGGGUGAAAAGCCCGCUCGCCGGAAGACCAAGGGUUCCUGUCCAACGUUAAUCGGGGCAGGGUGAGUCGACCCCUAAGGCGAGGCCGAAAGGCGUAGUCGAUGGGAAACAGGUUAAUAUUCCUGUACUUGGUGUUACUGCGAAGGGGGGACGGAGAAGGCUAUGUUAGCCGGGCGACGGUUGUCCCGGUUUAAGCAUGUAGGCUGGUUAUCCAGGCAAAUCCGGAUAAUCAAGGCUGAGGUGUGAUGACGAGGCACUACGGUGCUGAAGUAACAAAUGCCCUGCUUCCAGGAAAAGCCUCUAAGCAUCAGGUAACAUCAAAUCGUACCCCAAACCGACACAGGUGGUCAGGUAGAGAAUACCAAGGCGCUUGAGAGAACUCGGGUGAAGGAACUAGGCAAAAUGGUGCCGUAACUUCGGGAGAAGGCACGCUGGUGUGUAGGUGAAGCCCCUGCGGGUGGAGCUGAGACCAGUCGAAGAUACCAGCUGGCUGCAACUGUUUAUUAAAAACACAGCACUGUGCAAACACGAAAGUGGACGUAUACGGUGUGACGCCUGCCCGGUGCCGGAAGGUUAAUUGAUGGGGUUAUCCGUAAGGAGAAGCUCUUGAUCGAAGCCCCGGUAAACGGCGGCCGUAACUAUAACGGUCCUAAGGUAGCGAAAUUCCUUGUCGGGUAAGUUCCGACCUGCACGAAUGGCGUAAUGAUGGCCAGGCUGUCUCCACCCGAGACUCAGUGAAAUUGAACUCGCUGUGAAGAUGCAGUGUACCCGCGGCAAGACGGAAAGACCCCGUGAACCUUUACUAUAGCUUGACACUGAACAUUGAGCCUUGAUGUGUAGGAUAGGUGGGAGGCUUUGAAGCGUGGACGCCAGUCUGCGUGGAGCCAACCUUGAAAUACCACCCUUUAAUGUUUGAUGUUCUAACGUUGGCCCCUGACCGGGGUUGCGGACAGUGUCUGGUGGGUAGUUUGACUGGGGCGGUCUCCUCCUAAAGCGUAACGGAGGAGCACGAAGGUUAGCUAAUCCUGGUCGGACAUCAGGAGGUUAGUGCAAUGGCAUAAGCUAGCUUGACUGCGAGCGUGACGGCGCGAGCAGGUGCGAAAGCAGGUCAUAGUGAUCCGGUGGUUCUGAAUGGAAGGGCCAUCGCUCAACGGAUAAAAGGUACUCCGGGGAUAACAGGCUGAUACCGCCCAAGAGUUCAUAUCGACGGCGGUGUUUGGCACCUCGAUGUCGGCUCAUCACAUCCUGGGGCUGAAGUAGGUCCCAAGGGUAUGGCUGUUCGCCAUUUAAAGUGGUACGCGAGCUGGGUUUAGAACGUCGUGAGACAGUUCGGUCCCUAUCUGCCGUGGGCGCUGGAGAAUUGAGGGGGGCUGCUCCUAGUACGAGAGGACCGGAGUGGACGCAUCACUGGUGUUCGGGUUGUCAUGCCAAUGGCACUGCCCGGUAGCUAAAUGCGGAAGAGAUAAGUGCUGAAAGCAUCUAAGCACGAAACUUGCCCCGAGAUGAGUUCUCCCUGAGACUUUAAGUCUCCUGAAGGAACGUUAAAGACGAUGACGUUGAUAGGCCGGGUGUGUAAGCGCAGCGAUGCGUUGAGCUAACCGGUACUAAUGAACCGUGAGGCUUAACCUU